CCUACGGGUGGCAGCAGUGGGGGAUAUUGCACAAUGGGGGGAACCCUGAUGCAGCGACGCCGCGUGGGUGAAGGAGCGUUUCGGCGCGUAAAGCCCUAUCGGCAGGGAAGAAGGAGGACGGUACCUUACUAGGAAGCCCCGGCUAACUACGUGCCAGCAGCCGCGGGAAUACGUAGGGGGCAAGCGUUAUCCGGAUUUACUGGGUGUAAAGGGGGCGCAGACGGCAGCGCAAGCCAGGAGUGAAAGCCCGGGGCCCAACCCCGGAACUGCUCUUGGAACUGCGCGGCUGGAGUGCAGGAGGGGCAGGCGGAAUUCCUGGUGUAGCGGUGAAAUGCGUAGAUAUCAGGAGGAACACCGGUGGCGAAGGCGGCCUGCUGGACUGCGACUGACGUUGAGGCCCGAAAGCGUGGGGAGCAAACAGGAUUAGAUACCCGAGUAGUC
rnacentral:rRNA from 1 species